GAUGAACGCUAGCGGCAGGCCUAACACAUGCAAGUCGAGGGGUAGAACACUUCGGUGUUUGAGACCGGCGCACGGGUGCGUAACGCGUAUGCAAUCUACCUUGUACAGGGGAAUAGCCCAGAGAAAUUUGGAUUAAUGCCCCAUAGUAUAUAACCUUCGCAUGUUGGUUAUAUUAAAGUUCCAACGGUACAAGAUGAGCAUGCGUCCCAUUAGUUAGUUGGUAAGGUAACGGCUUACCAAGACGAUGAUGGGUAGGGGUCCUGAGAGGGAGAUCCCCCACACUGGUACUGAGACACGGACCAGACUCCUACGGGAGGCAGCAGUGAGGAAUAUUGGUCAAUGGUCGCAAGACUGAACCAGCCAUGCCGCGUGCAGGAAGACGGUCCUAUGGAUUGUAAACUGCUUUUAUACAGGAAGAAACCCUCCCACGUGUGGGAGCUUGACGGUACUGUAGGAAUAAGGAUCGGCUAACUCCGUGCCAGCCGCCGCGGUAACAC
rnacentral:rRNA from 1 species